AGUGAACGCUGGCGGUAGGCCUAACACAUGCAAGUCGAACGGCAGCACAGUAAGAGCUUGCUCUUACGGGUGGCGAGUGGCGGACGGGUGAGGAAUACAUCGGAAUCUACUUUUUCGUGGGGGAUAACGUAGGGAAACUUACGCUAAUACCGCAUACGACCUACGGGUGAAAGCAGGGGAUCUUCGGACCUUGCGCGAUUGAAUGAGCCGAUGUCGGAUUAGCUAGUUGGCGGGGUAAAGGCCCACCAAGGCGACGAUCCGUAGCUGGUCUGAGAGGAUGAUCAGCCACACUGGAACUGAGACACGGUCCAGACUCCUACGGGAGGCAGCAGUGGGGAAUAUUGGACAUUGGGCGCAAGCCUGAUCCAGCUAUACCGCGUGGGUGAAGAAGGCCUUCGGGUUGUAAAGCCCUUUUGUUGGGAAAGAAAAGCAGCAGGUUAAUACCCCGCUGUUCUGACGGUACCCAAAGAAUAAGCACCGGCUAACUUCGUG
rnacentral:rRNA from 1 species